ensembl:snRNA U6 U6 spliceosomal RNA
GUGCUCGCUUUUGAGGCACCUAUAAAAAUGGGAAUACAGAGAAGAUUAGCAUGGCCCCUGAACAAGGAUGACAUGCAAAUUCAUGAAGCGUUUUAUAUAGUU